AUCUUCAUUCCUACCUCAUACAACCCCUAUUUAAACUAACUUAGAUCAUCAACUCGUAAUUGACCACUCCAUGUCUCUUCAUUCUUACCCCUCUCACCCCUAUUUAUUUAAUUUAGACAUCAACUCGUAAUCGACCACUCCAUGUCUCUUCAUUCCUACCCCUUAAUCUAGACAUCAACUCGUAAUCGACCACUCCAUGUCUCUUCAUUCCUACCCCUCUCACCCCUAUUUAUAUUAACCUAGACAUCAACUCGUAAUCGGUCACUCCACUUCUCUUCAUUCAUACCCCUCCCACCCCUAUUUAAAUUAACCUAGAUCAUCAACUCGUAAUCGGCACAAUCAGCACUACUCUCGAUUAUCUACCUCGAGAUAAAUUAUUUAGAAUUUUUUGCAGAUUACUCUUCGCCUAAUUUAUAUUUGAUUUCUAUAUCAAAUAACACAACGACAGUCUUCUCUGAACCAUCGACUUCAAUAUUGCUUGUGCAAAUACUAUUAAGUCAUAAGGAAUUUUCCACCGCCCUCGACUAGCUUACUUUGAGGCUAAUCACUUAGAAUCAUUUGCAACCUACCUUCGGUGUUGUUUCUUCUAAUACUAUCUAGUUAUGAGUCUGCCCUUGGCCAAAUCUAUGAUUGAUUUUUGCAUCAUGUAAGGAAUUGAUUGUCUUCAAAUCCAGAACUUCAAUGUUUCUUGUGCUUAUACUAUCAAACCAUAUAAGAUUUGGCUUCACUUUUGACAAGCAAAAUAUUGUCAUGGUAAGUUAUAUCAAUGGGAACAAAACUCGGCCUCCUGUUUCAAAAUAACCCACCAUGCUAAUGCUGGUGGAAAAGUACCUGUUUUGGAGGUUGAUCUUAAAGACCGUUGGAUCAUUGAAAAUGGUACCAAUCAUCCGAAGUUAAACACUGCCUCUUCUAGUCUGAAAUUAAUUGGGCAUGCUGGUGCUGAUGGGAAAAUAUCUGUUUUGGAGGUUGAUCUUAAUGACUGACAUGUCAUUGAAAAUGUUUCUGUUGUAAGUUAUAUCAAUGGAAACAAAAUUCAGCCAGGUUUGUGUCACUACCUGAUUCUGUCAUUUUGCUUGUGAGUUCUUACAAGCGGGGAGUCAAUGGAAUGGUUAUCAAAUGUUUAAAGAAAGAGACAAUCUGAGUGCACGGCCAAUAAUAGAAGAUGACAUGCAAAGAAAUGGUUUUGAAGCAAUCUCAAGUUUGCAAUGCUAAUCAGUUUGUUGGUCAACCAGAAGUGUAAUGAAAGAGGAUGAGUCUUUGAUGGGGGAAGAAGAUUUGGGUAGUUAGAUGUGUUCGGCGGUAAGGGCGCACUGUCUUAUAUAGCUUCUAUUAAGAUUUGAAACCUAGUUUAGAGGGAGAAAAAGAACAAGAGUGACUCACAUCACAUCUUAUCACUGGCUUAUUAAACUCAUCCUAAUUAGAGAAAGAGAUGUCUAGAGUAGUCCAUUAGAGGGAAAAUUGUGGUUCUUCAACCUAAGGAGUAAAUUUUGAAGUAAAAACUAUCCUUAUCA